AGGUAAGCUACUAAGAGCGAAUGGUGGAUGCCUUGACUGGUAAAGGCGAUGAAGGACGUACUAGACUGCGAUAAGCUACGGGGAGCUGUCAAGAAGCUUUGAUCCGUAGAUUUCCGAAUGGGGCAACCCAAUGUAUAGAGAUAUACAUUACCUAUAUAGGAGCGAACGAGGGGAAUUGAAACAUCUUAGUACCCUCAGGAAAAGAAAUCAAUAGAGAUUGCGUCAGUAGCGGCGAGCGAAAGCGCAAGAGGGCAAACCCAGUGCUUGCACUGGGGGUUGUAGGACUGCAAUGUGCAAGAGGUAAGUUUAGCAGAACAUUCUGGAAAGUAUAACCAUAGAGGGUGAUAGUCCCGUAUGCGAAAAACAAACCUUAGCUAGCAGUAUCCUGAGUAGGGCGGGACACGAGGAAUCCUGUCUGAAUCCGGGUCGACCACGAUCCAACCCUAAAUACUAAUACCAGAUCGAUAGUGCACAAGUACCGUGAGGGAAAGGUGAAAAGAACUGAGGUGAUCAGAGUGAAAUAGAACCUGAAACCAUUUGCUUACAAUCAUUCAGAGCCCUAUGUAGCAAUACAGGGUGAUGGACUGCCUUUUGCAUAAUGAGCCUGCGAGUUGUGGUGUCUGGCAAGGUUAAGCAAACGCGAAGCCGUAGCGAAAGCGAGUCUGAAUAGGGCGCUUAGUCAGAUGCUGCAGACCCGAAACGAAGUGAUCUAUCCAUGAGCAAGUUGAAGCUAGUGUAAGAACUAGUGGAGGACUGAACCCAUAGGCGUUGAAAAGCCCCGGGAUGACUUGUGGAUAGGGGUGAAAGGCCAAUCAAACUUCGUGAUAGCUGGUUCUCUCCGAAAUAUAUUUAGGUAUAGCGUUGUGUCGUAAUAUAAGGGGGUAGAGCACUGAAUGGGCUAGGGCAUACACCAAUGUACCAAACCCUAUCAAACUCCGAAUACCUUAUAUGUAAUCACAGCAGUCAGGCGGCGAGUGAUAAAAUCCGUCGUCAAGAGGGAAACAACCCAGACUACCAGCUAAGGUCCCUAAAUCUUACUUAAGUGGAAAACGAUGUGAAGUUACUUAAACAACCAGGAGGUUGGCUUAGAAGCAGCCAUCCUUUAAAGAAAGCGUAAUAGCUCACUGGUCUAGUGAUUUUGCGCGGAAAAUA
rnacentral:rRNA from 1 species